CCAGGAAAUAGUUUAGUUUAGAACUCUGGCUUUGGGAGCCAGGGGCGGGAGUUAAAAUCUCUCUUUUCUGG
rnacentral:tRNA from 1 species